rnacentral:rRNA from 1 species
AUUGAACGCUGGCGGCAUGCUUUACACAUGCAAGUCGAACGGCAGCGCGGGCUUCGGCCUGGCGGCGAGUGGCGAACGGGUGAGUAAUGCAUCGGAACGUGCCCAGUAGUGGGGGAUAGCCCGGCGAAAGCCGGAUUAAUACCGCAUACGACCUGAGGGUGAAAGCGGGGGACCGAAAGGCCUCGCGCUAUUGGAGCGGCCGAUGUCGGAUUAGCUAGUUGGUGGGGUAAAGGCUUACCAAGGCGACGAUCCGUAGCUGGUCUGAGAGGACGACCAGCCACACUGGGACUGAGACACGGCCCAGACUCCUACGGGAGGCAGCAGUGGGGAAUUUUGGACAAUGGGGGCAACCCUGAUCCAGCCAUGCCGCGUGCGGGAAGAAGGCCUUCGGGUUGUAAAACGCUUUUGUUCGGGAAGAAAGCCUCUGGGCUAAUACCCCGGGGGGAUGAGGGUACCGGAAGAAUAAGCAACGGAUAACUACGUG